rnacentral:rRNA from 1 species
AGAACGAACGCUGGCGGCAGGCCUAACACAUGCAAGUCGAGCGCCCCGCAAGGGGAGCGGCGCACGGGUGAGUAACGCGUGGGAACAUGCCCAGAGGUCGGGAAUAACGGCGGGAAACUGCCGCUAAUACCCGGUAAGCCUUGAGAGGGAAAGGAGCAAUCCGCCUUUGGAGUGGCCCGCGUUGGAUUAGCUAGUUGGUGGGGUAAAAGCCUACCAAGGCUACGAUCCAUAGCUGGUCUGAGAGGAUGAUCAGCCACACUGGGACUGAGACACGGCCCAGACUCCUACGGGAGGCAGCAGCAAGGAAUUUCGUCAAUGGGCGCAAGCCUGAACGAGCAACGCCGCGUGGAGGAUGACGGCCUUCGGGUUGUAAACUCCUUUUGCGGGGGACGAGUGAUGACGGUACCCCGCGAAUAAGGCUCGGCUAACUCUGUGCCAGCAGCCGC